rnacentral:rRNA from 1 species
AUUGAACGCUGGCGGCAUGCUUUACACAUGCAAGUCGAACGGCAGCGCGGGCUUCGGCCUGGCGGCGAGUGGCGAACGGGUGAGUAAUGCAUCGGAACGUGCCCAGUAGUGGGGGAUAGCCCGGCGAAAGCCGGAUUAAUACCGCAUACGACCUGAGGGUGAAAGCGGGGGACCGAAAGGCCUCGCGCUAUUGGAGCGGCCGCUGUCGGCUUAGCUAGUUGGUGGGGUAACGGCUCACCAAGGCGACGAUCCGUAGCUGGUCUGCCAGGACGACCAGCCACACUGGGACUGAGACACGGCCCAGCCUCCUACGGGAGGCAGCAGUGGGGAAUUUUCGACAAUGGGCGCAACCCUGAUCCAGCCAUGCCGCGUGCGGGAAGAGGGCCUUCGGGUUGUAAACCGCUUUUGUUCGGGAAGAAAGCCUCUGGGCUAAUACCCCGGGGGGAUGACGGUACCGGAAGAAUAAGCAUCGGCUAACUACGUG